rnacentral:rRNA from 1 species
GAGCGGAUGAAGGGAGCUUGCUCCUGGAUUCAGCGGCGGACGGGUGAGUAAUGCCUAGGAAUCUGCCUGGUAGUGGGGGACAACGUUUCGAAAGGAACGCUAAUACCGCAUACGUCCUACGGGAGAAAGCAGGGGACCUUCGGGCCUUGCGCUAUCAGAUGAGCCUAGGUCGGAUUAGCUAGUUGGUGAGGUAAUGGCUCACCAAGGCGACGAUCCGUAACUGGUCUGAGAGGAUGAUCAGUCACACUGGAACUGAGACACGGUCCAGACUCCUACGGGAGGCAGCAGUGGGGAAUAUUGGACAAUGGGCGAAAGCCUGAUCCAGCCAUGCCGCGUGUGUGAAGAAGGUCUUCGGAUUGUAAAGCACUUUAAGUUGGGAGGAAGGGUUGUAGAUUAAUACUCUGCAAUUCUGACGUUACCGACAGAAUAAGCACCGGCUAACUCUGUG